rnacentral:rRNA from 1 species
AAUGGGCGCAAGCCUGAUCCAGCAAUGCCGCGUGCAGGAUGAAGGCCUUCGGGUUGUAAACUGCUUUUGUACGGAACGAAAAGCCCUGGGUUAAUACCCUGGGGUCAUGACGGUACCGUAAGAAUAAGCACCGGCUAACUACGUGCCAGCAGCCGCGGUAAUACGUAGGGUGCGAGCGUUAAUCGGAAUUACUGGGCGUAAAGCGUGCGCAGGCGGUUUUGUAAGACAGAGGUGAAAUCCCCGGGCUCAACCUGGGAACUGCCUUUGUGACUGCAAGGCUAGAGUACGGCAGAGGGGGAUGGAAUUCCGCGUGUAGCAGUGAAAUGCGUAGAUAUGCGGAGGAACACCGAUGGCGAAGGCAAUCCCCUGGGCCUGUACUGACGCUCAUGCACGAAAGCGUGGGGAGCAAACAGGAUUAGAUACCCUGGUAGUCCACGCCCUAAACGAUGUCAACUGGUUGUUGGGUCUUAACUGACUCAGUAACGAAGCUAACGCGUGAAGUUGACCGCCUGGGG